GGCUGGGUAGCUCAGCUGGUUAGAGCGUCGGAUUCAUAACCCGAAGGUAGAGUGUUCAAGUCACUCUUCAGCCACCA
rnacentral:tRNA from 1 species